rnacentral:rRNA from 1 species
CCUACGGGAGGCAGCAGUGGGGGAUAUUGCACAAUGGAGGGAACUCUGAUGCAGCGACGCCGCGUGAGGGAAGAAGGUUUUCGGAUUGUAAACCUCUGUCUUCGGUGACGCAACGAGGCGGUAGCCGCGGAGGAAGCCACGGCUAACUACGGGCCAGAAGCUGCGGUACUACGUAGGUGGCAAGCGUUGUCCGGAAUUACUGGGGUUAAAGGGAGCGUAGGCGGGAAAGCAAGUUGAAGGUUUAAGGUACGGGCUCAACCUGUACAAGCGUUCAAAACUGUUUUUCUUGAGUGGAGGAGAGGUAAGCGGAAUGCCUAGUGUAGCGGUGAAAUGCGUAAAUAUUAGGAGGAACACCAGUGGCGAAGGCGGCUUACUGGGCUUUAACUGACGCUGAGGCUCGAAAGCGUGGGUAGCAAACAGGAUUAGAUACCCUGGUAGUC